AUACGUAGGUGACAAGCGUUAUCCGGAUUUACUGGGCGUAAAGGGCGUGUAGGCGGUCUUGCAAGUCAGAAGUGAAAUUCCUGAGCUCAACUCGGGCGCUGCUUCUGAAACUGCAGGACUUGAGUGCUGGAGGGGAUAGCGGAAUUCCUAGUGGAGCGGUAAAAUGCGCAGAUAUUAGGAAGAACACCGGUGGCGAAGGCGGCUAUCUGGACAGUAACUGACGCUGAGGCGCGAAAGCGUGGGGAGCAAACAGGAUUAGAUCCCCUGGUAGUCCACGCCGUAAACGAUGAAUACUAGGUGUAGGGGGUAUCGACUCCCUCUGUGCCGCAGUUAACACAAUAAGUAUUCCGCCUGGGGAGUACGGCCGCAAGGUUGAAACUCAAAUGAAUUGACGUGG
rnacentral:rRNA from 1 species